UCUUCUUUGAGGAGAAUGGGGUCAUGGAAGGAAGAGGAUUUAAAAUGGGAGGUGAAGAUGAAUCUGACGCCAGCUUUGGUGGGAGGCAUUGGGAGGAGGCAAUGAGAGAUGAGUAGAGAGAAGAACCAAGCAAAGGAGGAUGAGACCAUGAAGGAAAGGGAGCUGAUUUUCCUUCUUUCUCUUUUUCUUUCAAUUGAGAUUUUGGGAAUAAGAAAAAGCGAGAUGAAAGAUGAGAGAUUUGAGAAGAGAUGGGUGGCGAGAAUUCAAUGAAAUAGAGUGAUAAGAAAUAAAGAAGAAAAGACUGUGAGAGAGGAGGAUG
rnacentral:lncRNA from 1 species